AGUGAACGCUGGCGGUAGGCCUAACACAUGCGAGUCGAACGGCAGCACAGUAAGAGCUUGCUCUUACGGGUGGCGAGUGGCGGACGGGUGAGGAAUACAUCGGAAUCUACUUUUUCGUGGGGGAUAACGUAGGGAAACUUACGCUAAUACCGCAUACGGCCUACGGGUGAAAGCAGGGGAUCUUCGGACCUUGCGCGAUUGAAUGAGCCGAUGUCGGAUUAGCUAGUUGGCGGGGUAAAGGCCCACCAAGGCGACGAUCCGUAGCUGGUCUGAGAGGAUGAUCAGCCACACUGGAACUGAGACACGGUCCAGACUCCUACGGGAGGCAGCAGUGGGGAAUAUUGGACAAUGGGCGCAAGCCUGAUCCAGCCAUACCGCGUGGGUGAAGAGGGCCUUCGGGUUGUAAAGCCCUUUUGUUGGGAAAGAAAAGCAGCAGGUUAAUACCCUGCUGUUCUGACGUUACCCAAAGAAUAAGCACCGGCUAACUUCGUG
rnacentral:rRNA from 1 species